rnacentral:tRNA from 1 species
GCGAAGGUGGCGGAAUUGGUAGACGCGCUAGCUUCAGGUGUUAGUGUCCUUACGGACGUGGGGGUUCAAGUCCCCUCCCUCGCACCA